AUCGAAACGGUGUCGUCGUUAGGAAUCCCCAUUGAAGCACGGAAACCUAACGUUGAGAUUGACGGCGUUUCUGUGUCCAGAUCCUCCGCGCCGCCGCCACCUGCUCACAGAGUUUCAAGCUUACCGGAUAUUCAGGUUGAAUUGUUAGUAGGAUGGAUGAAGUGCAAGUUGUAUUGUUGUAACAGACUUACGAUAAAUUGCGUCACUGGAGAAUUCGCGCGAAUUGGAAAGGGAAGAAGAAGACAAUACAGUUCUACAAAAGUGAAAAAUGAAAUUUGUAAAUUCAUAAAAAUGAUGAAAAUACGUGUUUCUGAUGAAUCAUGAAAGUGACUUUUGUUUCA